AUUCCAGCUCCAAUAGCGUAUACUAAAGUUGUUGCAGUUAAAAAGCUCGUAGUUGGAUUUCUGGUCGAGGCAGCCGGUCGGCACCAAGUGUGUUUGUACCAGGCGCUUCGUCCAUUUUUGUAGAAGCUGUGUCUGUCAUUCAGUUGUCGGGCAUAGGGUCUGCAUCAUUUACUGUGAGCAAAAUAGAGUGUUCAAAGCAGGCUUAGGCCAUGAAUACAUUAGCAUGGAAUAAUAAGAUAAGACCUUGGUCUAUUUUGUUGGUUAGCAUUCCGAGGUAAUGAUUAAUAGGGAUAGUUGGGGGUAUUCGUAUUCAAUUGUCAGAGGUGAAAUUCUUGGAUUUAUUGAAGACGAACUACUGCGAAAGCAUUUACCAAGGAUGUUUUCAUUA
rnacentral:rRNA from 1 species